rnacentral:rRNA from 1 species
GACGUAGGGCGCGAGCGUUGUCCGGAUUUAUUGGGCGUAAAGAGCUCGUAGGCGGCUUGUCGCGUCGUCUGUGAAAUCCCGCGGCUCAACCGCGGGUCUGCAGUCGAUACGGGCAGGCUAGAGUUCGGUAGGGGAGACUGGAAUUCCUGGUGUAGCGGUGAAAUGCGCAGAUAGUCAGGAGGAACACCGGUGGCGAAGGCGGGGUCUCUGGGCCGGAUACUGACGCUGGAGGA